GGGCGAUUAGCUCAUUUGGCUAGAGCGCAACAUUGACGUUGUUGAGGUGAUAGGUUCGAAUCCUAUAUCGCCCACCA
rnacentral:tRNA from 1 species